AUACAGAGGUUGCGAGCGUUAAUCGGAAUUACUGGGCGUAAAGCGCGCGUAGGCGGCUGAUUAAGUCAGAUGUGAAAUCCCAGGGCUCAACCUUGGAACUGCAUCUGAUACUGGGUAGCUAGAGUUGAGGAGAGGGAAGUAGAAUUUCAGGUGUAGCGGUGAAAUGCAUAGAGAUCUGAAGGAAUACCAGUGGCGAAGGCGGCUUCCUGGCCUAAAACUGACGCUGAGGUGCGAAAGCGUGGGUAGCAAACGGGAUUAGAAACCCCGGUAGUCC
rnacentral:rRNA from 1 species